rnacentral:rRNA from 1 species
AGGUUGAACGCUGGCGGCAUGCCUUACACAUGCAAGUCGAACGGUAACAGGGAGCUUGCUCCGCUGACGAGUGGCGAACGGGUGAGUAAUGUAUCGGAACGUACCAUUCAGUGGGGGAUAACGUAGCGAAAGUUACGCUAAUACCGCGUAUUCUGUGCGCAGGAAAGCAGGGGAUCGCAAGACCUUGCGCUGAUUGAGCGGCCGAUAUCAGAUUAGCUAGUUGGUGAGGUAAAAGCUCACCAAGGCGACGAUCUGUAGCGGGUCUGAGAGGAUGAUCCGCCACACUGGAACUGAGACACGGUCCAGACUCCUACGGGAGGCAGCAGUGGGGAAUUUUGGACAAUGGGGGCAACCCUGAUCCAGCCAUGCCGCGUGAGUGAAGAAGGCCUUCGGGUUGUAAAGCUCUUUCAGCCGGGAAGAAAAUGCAUGGGUUAAUACCCUGUGCAGAUGACGGUACCGGAAUAGGAAGCACCGGCUAACUACGUGCCAGCAGCCGCGGUAAUACGUAGGGUGCGAGCGUUAAUCGGAAUUACUGGGCGUAAAGCGUGCGCAGGCGGUUUUGUAAGACAGGCGUGAAAUCCCCGGGCUUAACCUGGGAACUGCGUUUGUGACUGCAAGGCUAGAGUACGGCAGAGGGGGGUGGAAUUCCACGUGUAGCAGUGAAAUGCGUAGAGAUGUGGAGGAACACCAAUGGCGAAGGCAGCCCCCUGGGUCGAUACUGACGCUCAUGCACGAAAGCGUGGGUAGCAAACAGGAUUAGAUACCCUGGUAGUCCACGCCAUAAACGAUGUCAACUAGGUGUUGGGAGGGUAAAACCUUUUAGUACCGUAGCUAACGCGAGAAGUUGACCGCCUGGGGAGUACGGCCGCAAGGUUAAAACUCAAAGGAAUUGACGGGGACCCGCACAAGCGGUGGAUGAUGUGGAUUAGUUCGAUGCAACGCGAAAAACCUUACCUACCCUUGACAUGUCAGGAACUUGCCAGAGAUGGCUCGGUGCUCGAAAGAGAACCUGAACACAGGUGCUGCAUGGCCGUCGUCAGCUCGUGUCGUGAGAUGUUGGGUUAAGUCCCGCAACGAGCGCAACCCUUAUCAUUAGUUGCUACGCAAGGGCACUCUAAUGAGACUGCCGGUGACAAACCGGAGGAAGGUGGGGAUGACGUCAGGUCAUCAUGGCCCUUAUGGGUAGGGCCACACACGUCAUACAAUGGCCGGUACAGAGGGCUGCCAACCCGCGAGGGGGAGCUAAUCUCAGAAAACCGGUCGUAGUCCGGAUCGCAGUCUGCAACUCGACUGCGUGAAGUCGGAAUCGCUAGUAAUUGCGGAUCAGCUUGCCGCGGUGAAUACGUUCCCGGGUCUUCC